rnacentral:tRNA from 1 species
GCAGUGUUGGCUCACUAGUAGAAUUCUCGCCUUCCAUGUGGGAAACCCAGGUUCGAUUCCUGGCCAGUGUA